rnacentral:rRNA from 1 species
GAUGAACGCUGGCGGCGUGCCUAAUACAUGCAAGUCGAGCGAACGGACGAGAAGCUUGCUUCUCUGAUGUUAGCGGCGGACGGGUGAGUAACACGUGGAUAACCUACCUAUAAGACUGGGAUAACUUCGGGAAACCGGAGCUAAUACCGGAUAAUAUUUUGAACCGCAUGGUUCAAAAGUGAAAGACGGUCUUGCUGUCACUUAUAGAUGGAUCCGCGCUGCAUUAGCUAGUUGGUAAGGUAACGGCUUACCAAGGCAACGAUGCAUAGCCGACCUGAGAGGGUGAUCGGCCACACUGGAACUGAGACACGGUCCAGACUCCUACGGGAGGCAGCAGUAGGGAAUCUUCCGCAAUGGGCGAAAGCCUGACGGAGCAACGCCGCGUGAGUGAUGAAGGUCUUCGGAUCGUAAAACUCUGUUAUUAGGGAAGAACAUAUGUGUAAGUAACUGUGCACAUCUUGACGGUACCUAAUCAGAAAGCCACGGCUAACUACGUGCCAGCAGCCGCGGUAAUACGUAGGUGGCAAGCGUUAUCCGGAAUUAUUGGGCGUAAAGCGCGCGUAGGCGGUUUUUUAAGUCUGAUGUGAAAGCCCACGGCUCAACCGUGGAGGGUCAUUGGAAACUGGAAAACUUGAGUGCAGAAGAGGAAAGUGGAAUUCCAUGUGUAGCGGUGAAAUGCGCAGAGAUAUGGAGGAACACCAGUGGCGAAGGCGACUUUCUGGUCUGUAACUGACGCUGAUGUGCGAAAGCGUGGGGAUCAAACAGGAUUAGAUACCCUGGUAGUCCACGCCGUAAACGAUGAGUGCUAAGUGUUAGGGGGUUUCCGCCCCUUAGUGCUGCAGCUAACGCAUUAAGCACUCCGCCUGGGGAGUACGACCGCAAGGUUGAAACUCAAAGGAAUUGACGGGGACCCGCACAAGCGGUGGAGCAUGUGGUUUAAUUCGAAGCAACGCGAAGGACCUUACCAAAUCUUGACAUCCUUUGACAACUCUAGAGAUAGAGCCUUCCCCUUCGGGGGACAAAGUGACAGGUGGUGCAUGGUUGUCGUCAGCUCGUGUCGUGAGAUGUUGGGUUAAGUCCCGCAACGAGUGCAACCCUUAAGCUUAGUUGCCAUCAUUAAGUUGGGCACUCUAAGUUGACUGCCGGUGACAAACCGGAGGAAGGUGGGGAUGACGUCAAAUCAUCAUGCCCCUUAUGAUUUGGGCUACACACGUGCUACAAUGGACAAUACAAAGGGCAGCGAAACCGCGAGGUCAAGCAAAUCCCAUAAAGUUGUUCUCAGUUCGGAUUGUAGUCUGCAACUCGACUACAUGAAGCUGGAAUCGCUAGUAAUCGUAGAUCAGCAUGCUACGGUGAAUACGUUCCCGGGUCU